rnacentral:rRNA from 1 species
AGUGAACGCUGGCGGUAGGCCUAACACAUGCAAGUCGAACGGCAGCACAGUAAGAGCUUGCUCUUACGGGUGGCGAGUGGCGGACGUGUGAGGCAUACAUCGGAAUCUACUUUUUCGUGGGGGAUAACGUAGGGAAACUUACGCUAAUACCGCAUACGACCUACGGGUGAAAGCAGGGGAUCUUCGGACCUUGCGCGAUUGAAUGAGCCGAUGUCGGAUUAGCUAGUUGGCGGGGUAAAGGCCCACCAAGGCGACGAUCCGUAGCUGGUCUGAGAGGAUGAUCAGCCACACUGGAACUGAGACACGGUCCAGACUCCUACGGGAGGCAGCAGUGGGGAAUAUUGGACAAUGGGCGCAAGCCUGAUCCAGCCAUACCGCGUGGGUGAAGAAGGCCUUCGGGUUGUAAAGCCCUUUUGUUGGGAAAGAAAAGCAGCAGGUUAAUACCCCGCUGUUCUGACGGUACCCAAAGAAUAAGCACCGGCUAACUUCGUG